rnacentral:lncRNA from 1 species
GUAGAGUUUGAGCUCGAAUCCUGAGACUGGAAAUAGACAUCGGGGCCACCGUAAUAGAUGGAAGAACUCAGAUGACAAGGUUGCACUCUCUGAUCCUGAUAAACUGAACCAAGGUUAUCUUGUUCUUCUCUCUGUCUAUUAACAUCACCUGCAAAAUAAUAAUAAUAUCCAAAAACCCUUUAAACACACACAAAAAGGAACAAGACUUAAUUUGAUCAACAAAGACUUCUCAAGGAUCAUCUUGUGUAGUAUUAGACUAGAUUACCAAUCUUGGAGGAUUUCUCGUUCCAGCCAGCAGUCACAGUGUCUUGUUGCAUUUGCAUAGAUUCUCUUCCCAUAACCUGAGACAAAACAAACCCAUGAAUUUCUAACUUGUGCUACAAGCCACGAUCAUGUAGACCAUUCUUCUCCUUAGGUGUUCUUAAUUCUUAGUUUAGGGUUGUGGGGGUCUUCAAUAUAUUUAAAAUUUCCGUUUUGAAAUUAAUCCAUUAUUUGGAAACACAUAUCACAAUUAAAUCAAUCAGUUGCGAUACGAUCGAAUCAAAAUAAUCUUCCUUUCGAAAACCCUAGUUUCAUAAAAUCUCACAUCCGUUACCAACAAAACUCGAAAUCUCCAACGAUUAAUCGAAAUAUAAACAGAAAGAUAAGAUUAAUAUGAAAAAAAAUUCCAAAGAUCAAACAACAACAAAUUAAAUUCCUAAAAAAAAUAUUUAUAAAAUCAAAGCUUUUGGAGAAGGAGAUUCACCUUAGAAGGAGGAGCGAAAAUCGAUCUGAAAGUACCAGAAGAGGAAGAAGGCAAAGGAUUUACUUUGGAACCGAAAAGCUCAGAGGUUAACGAGGAAGAAGAGGAAGCCUUUUUCGUUCUUCCGUCCAUUGUCUCUCCAAAACCACUUCUAACCUAAACCCAGGAAUCCGUAUACUAUACGUACUCCGUAUAUAUGGAGAGGGUUAUCAAAUACGUGGGUACGUAUCAGUUUAUACGAUUAUGCAUACGGAAGAGGAAGAGGAAGAGGAGAGGAGAAGGGAGAACCAAAACGGUGGAUCGCCCUCAGAUUUUAUAGAUGAUAAUCGAAUUAAUUGCUAAUGACAUUUAAACAUUUAUGGUUGAUUGAUACCAUUAUUAUUAUUUUGGUAAUAAAAAUGAGGGGAAAUGAUUGAUACCAUUAUUAUUAAUUAAUCAUUUAAAAUAAGAACAUAACAAUUUUAAAAUUAUGUCGCUGAUAAAAAUAAUUUGUACCUUUAUCUCUGAUCAAUCAACCUGUAGCUGUUCACCAGUAAUGUAUAUUAUUUCUAUAACUAAAAUCUUCUACAGCUAUAUUUGUUGAUAAAAAAGUUUCAAUACGUAAUAAAUUACAAAGUAAGUGGAAUCUAUGCAGGCGUUUACGUACACACAACUCUCACUUGAGGUGUCUGAUAAAACGAUCGACACGUGAUGAUCAAAUAGAAGGUGGCGAACCAAACUGUAUUUGAGGUUGGUAGUUGCCACCACAUUGCUGCGACAACGAGUAAUAUCCAAAAUGGAUAGCUAACGAACACUUGAAAGGAUGAGUGAACGGUCCGUUGGAUUUAUAUCACUUUCACGUGACAGUUAGUGAAGAAACAAGAUCCAUCCAUAUAGUCAAAGAAAAAAAAACACAUUACCUUAUCUCUCUUAUAUUGUCGGCAACAACAUUGAACUUGACAUUUCUGAGGACAUCGGUAUCAGCGAACUGGAGGAGUGCGAUUCCCUAUUUCACUAUUUUGAUUUUUUUUCUGUUUGAUUUAAAAAAUAAUAAUAAUAAUAAUAGUUGAACUAAUCGUGGACCGCCACGUGUCGUGGAGUCCACAAAACAGUGAUGAACCCGUAUCACUACAGAGAAUUCAGGCAGCCUGGGUUUACAAAAAGUGGAUUAUUAUAAUAAUUUUUUUCUGGGAAUUAUGUGAACUUGAGCAAUAAUUCCUUAACUAGGUUAGGAUCCGCGCCUUGCGCGGAAUGAACAUUAUAUAUAUAAAUUAUUUAUAUAUUAUAUGUUUAUAACAUAUUAUGAAAUAAUAAAUAACAACAUACCAAGCUUGGCACUCGAAUCUAUAAAUCAACCCAACGUUUCACGAUUUCAUCAUAAUCAAACUCGAUUUGCUUUGCUGCUCAUAUCCUCGGGAGGGGGGGAGAAGAACCAACCAACCAAAAAAAAAGAAAGAAAGCAAAAGGGAACAACGUGAAGUGGAAGCAAUAUCAACACCACGAAGCACAAUCUUCCAUUCACGGAAACCGAGAAAGUUUGUGUGAUCCCAGGGAGACUCAACAGAGAGAGAGAGAGAGAGGAAGGAAUCGGAAGUUGCAGAGAAUCUCUCGCCGCUUAGAGUAAGACGAAGACAGACAGAGAGAGAUGGCUUCCUCUUGGGGAUCGUACGGUCAAGAUUCAAUAUUAAUAAAGGAGGUAAAGCGAUCGUAUGGUCUGUAAUUUAUUAGGUCGGGCCCAUUAAGAGUCUUCCGUUUCUUUGUAGAGCGAAACGGAACGGACCCACUCCUAGGCUGACGUCAGACGCGUAGGUUUCUUUAUCUAUUAUUUACCCGUUUUUUCCCCCUUUCUUUAUUAUUUGUCCGUUACGGCUUUACAAUAAGUUUUCAAUCAUUUUCGCAAAUAAUAAAAAUAUAUAAUGUGAUCACCACCUAAAAUCAAUCAAUUGUAUGUUUUUUUAUUUAUUGUUGGUUCAAUUAUGUGACACUUUUUAAAGUUAAAACUUUUUGUUUUAUUUUGCACAUGUUUCCCACCACGAUCAACAGCAUUACAUCAUUAUCAUAUCAAACAUAUAUUAUUGUUAUCAUAACAAAGUGUUGUUUUGCAUGAGGAGCAUAUUGUAUUUUGAUUUUUUGACUAAAGAGCAGUGAUCCAAUAAGAUAUGUUUAUGUCGUCAAUAAAGCAAAAAGGACUCCUACUUUCUCCUCAUUUCAUGAUUGCAUGUAAACUUAAGCUCUUACACAUAUUUUGACUAUAAACAAACACAUGAGUUAUGGACCUAUUUUGGUUGGCUGCAGCCUCUACGUGCUUUGUAAUUAUAAAUUCAUUAGUUGUAUAAUCAAAACAUCAACCUACAAACAUAUAUAAUAUUAUCUAACAUGAUUUAUUUACAAAUAUCAUUCGGUUUACAAUCUUUCCGUUCCGCCUGUGUUAGAAUUUCAUCUAACCAACAUGAUUGAAUUUAGUUUCAAAAAAAUCUGAUUGAACUAUAUAAAACAAAAACCCUCAAUACGGUGCAUGAUCAGAAAUGAUAUAUACUUGAAUUUUGUCUUGGAAAAUCUAGAGAUAAUUAAAGUGAUUGAUAUACUUUUCAUUAUUCCCUUUUGUAAAAUCAAAUCACAAUCAAAAGUUUGAUGAUCAAUAUUUAGACCACGUACAUAAUGUCAUAUAAUAUAAUAAAAGUUAAGAUCACUCAUCAUCUUUAUAUGAAGGAAACAACAACAACAAAGUAUUUGUAUGUUUUGAUCCAAAAAUAUUUGUGAUAACUUUGCAAUUAGACUAAUCAUGUUACAUUAAGAAGCAGUAGCUUUCAAGUUUAAACAAAAUUUCCAGCUAUUUUUGCAGUGUUGGGUUCAGUCCUGGGUCGAGAUCUACAACACUAGAGAACAAAAAAAUUAGAGCAAUGGACACGCCAACGAGUUCAUUUUAUUAUUAUGUAUUAGCAUUAAUGAUCCUCAAAAUUCAUUGUACUUAAUUUUUGUCAUUGCUUGAUUUUUUUUUCCAGGCAACAACCCAUUUGGCUAGCUGCAUAAGUACAUGGACGCAUGUCACGCAUCAGUAGUGGUUUUAAUGCCCUUGCUUGGCCACAUCAAUUGUCAAUGUAUAUUGGAUAAUUAUUUUGAUUUGAAUUGGUAUCGUUCUAAUUGUGUAAAAUAUUAGACACACACGGUUUGCUUAUUUUCGGACAUGGUUUGAAUGUCGUAUCUCAUAUGCUAAAUAUAUAGUCUGCUAGUAUAUCAAGUACUUUGCUAAAAAUUCAAUCACUACGAUUUGUGAUAUACAAAUCAUGCACAAAGCAAACAACAUUGUUUCGUUAUUUCUCUGUGGCGGUGAGUUGGAUGAUUACGCCAAUGAAUAAACCCAUAAUGAAAUAUUAGUAAGGCAGUGGAUUGUAGCCCAAUGAGAAGUUUUGGGCAAACGAAAGAAAAAGAAGCGUAUAGUCCUUGUUUGAAAAUGCUUUUUUUUUUGUCAUCUGUAGAUUAAUAUUUAAACGGAUGAACUGCAGUUUAUACAAAAACUAAGCCGGCAAGGAAUACACUCCUUCCAGAGCCAUAAACCAAUAAAGAUCGCAAUCUUUCCGGAGCCAGAGAAACAUAAUCAAACAUGCACCAAUUGCAAUUAUACAUAAUUGUCUCCUUCAAUAUUUACCUUUUUGUCAACAAAGUUUCUAUAGAUUCAGUAGUUGUCUCCUCAAUAUUAUUAAAACAAAAAAAAAUUAAUUAAUUUAUACAUGCGUGGAAACUGUAAAUUUAUUAGAGUAUUAUACAAAACCAUAAACGGUUUAUCUAUAGGUACGUUUAAGGAAAAUAGAAAUCCAACCGGGUAAAUCACUAAACCACGACAAGAACACAAGGAACAAAACUCCCAUGUUCUUUUGUAGCAGCUACCUUUCAAACUUCUUCCAUACUUGUUGUAAUAAUAAGAUGAGAAGUUACUAAAACGUACUGAUCCACUCCAAGGGGACUCUAGUUUUUUGGUCCUAUAUGUACCUGCAAAAUCCAAAAAACGAACCGAGCCAUGAUCAAAUAUUACAUCUUAAAACUGGACCAGGAUCGUUCGGUUGGAAACCAGGGUUUAUUAUACCUUGUUUUUGAAGUAUAACAUUGGCAUAAGUAGCAAAAGAGAUCUCUAUUCAAUAAUACAGAGAUCCUGUAAGUUUUCAAGAAGAUUUAGUGAAGGAAACAAGAAUUGAAGGGAACAAAACAAAAUGAUAGAAGAUUGGAAUAUGAUACCUUUCCACCAAUUUCCUCUUGAAGCACUUCCUGAAUCAUCUUCGCCCCCCUCUUUCUUGUUCUCCUAGAAAACGAAAAGAAACCCUUCAAACUCAUCAAAAGCUUCACGAGACUUAACCUAUAAAGAUUCAAAAGAUCGAGUUUCAAGAUGUUAUCCAGAGACUAAAUAGAUUACCGUAGAGUUUGAGCUCGAAUCCUGAGACUGGAAAUAGACAUCGGGGCCACCGUAAUAGAUGGAAGAACUCAGAUGACAAGGUUGCACUCUCUGAUCCUGAUAAACUGAACCAAGGUUAUCUUGUUCUUCUCUCUGUCUAUUAACAUCACCUGCAAAAUAAUAAUAAUAUCCAAAAACCCUUUAAACACACACAAAAAGGAACAAGACUUAAUUUGAUCAACAAAGACUUCUCAAG